UACGAAGGGGGCUAGCGUUGCUCGGAAUUACUGGGCGUAAAGGGCGCGUAGGCGGAUCGUUAAGUCAGAGGUGAAAUCCCAGGGCUCAACCCUGGAACUGCCUUUGAUACUGGCGAUCUUGAGUAUGAGAGAGGUAUGUGGAACUCCGAGUGUAGAGGUGAAAUGCGUAGAUAUUCGGAAGAACACCAGUGGCGAAGGCGACAUACUGGCUCAUUACUGACGCUGAGGCGCGAAAGCGUGGGGAGCAAACAGG
rnacentral:rRNA from 1 species